GACAACAAUCACCAGAGAGAAAACCGCCCACAUUCACCGGUCAACAACUGUUGAUAGAGGUUAGGUUGAUUGGCGGGAAAUUUUGCUUCUGUUUGUUUACAUACAAAAGUUCCGGAAAAGACACUUCGUGUAGUCAUGAGAUUAAAUUUUACUUUUCUUUUCGGCGUAGUUACCAUUUCAAGUGAUAUUAACGAAUCAUCUCGGUCUAUUUAACUUGUAAUUCAUAUAGUCCAACAACAUCUGCUUUCAAAUCUUUUUUCAUUCCUUGGACUCACCCUGAUCUCUGCAGGUAAACUAAUCAUGGAAGACUAUGACAUCGCUUUGCUGGAGGAGAAAAGAAGAAGCUCUAUCCGAUAUUUGGAUAAUAUCUUGUCUGGUAAAGAUAAAAUUGGUAGCUACACAGCUUUCAGUAACAGCUGUGAAGGAUUGGUCGAGCUUGCAAGGGUGGCAGGGUUGCAUGAAAAUGAUCUUCUGGAAAUUGCACAAGUUCUUACAGAUCCUACUUUAGAAUUCAGACAUUUUUCAUUCUUACUGGAAUCUUUAAUACCCGAGCAAAAAUGUCAGAAAAUGUGGUUGAUAUAAUGCUACGGUGGCUUCUACAACAUUGCUGGAUGACUCACAAGCACCCAAGUGCAAUGUCUUGCUUCAAUGGUUCGCCAGCAGCAUUUUGAAUGGCUUAAUGGAAAAGGAUAUCUUACAAACUUACUUCCUCAGCAUAUUUUUUAUCAUCAAGAAAUUCAACCUGGUAAGUCAGUUAGUGCCAAGGCCUAACAGUAUGCUAAAAGCGUAAAUUACGUUUCGUCUCAAAACUGGUCAUUUGUACAUUGAGUGUCUAAAAAUUACCAAGACUAGCACCGUAAUUAAGAAACUAAGCCAUUUAUCGAGCUCAUUGAGACCAGUAUCAAUUUUUUUCUCCAAAAUUAAGCAAGUUUCGAUAGUUUGAACAUGGCAUGAUUGUCGACUGCCUCUGAUUUUUUUCAACCAUCUAUCCUUACCCAAGUUGGCCCAUAAAACGUUUUAAAUACUCUUUUGUCGAUGAAUAAUAAUGCUUAACAACAUUAAACACAACUUGGCAUUGAUCUUAUGAAAACAUUGACUUUUUGUCUUGCUAAAAUUGCGCAAUGAUUUAUACCGAGACGAUAUUAAAUUAAUGUUACAGAGCAAGGCUGUGUGUAGUGUUAUUUCACUCAUAGCAGAAUGUGAUUAUUUUAUGGAGUCUCAUAUCGACAUGCUUCUAGCGCUCCAGGAAAAAUGUACCAAAGCCAAACACCACCAAUGCACUUUACUUAUCUUCUGAGGUUAGUCCAUUAUCGAUUUUUCAAAGUUAGUGAUCAAUUAAAUCCAUCCAUACUUAAACUUGUCUGGGUGUUACUUCACAUUAUGUCGGAUCAAUUCUAAUGAAUUUCAACAUUACAGAAUGUCAAGAACUCAUACAGAAGAAGUGUCUUAGUAAUGGGCCGUAGAAAAUUGUAUAAAUGGGUCAGAAGCAACCAUUAUUUUUAAUUCACUUUUUGAAAAUACAGAGUAAAGCAAGCUUCAAGGAAUUUUUUAGGUUUUUUUUCAACACUAAAUGAUGAAGAAACCCCGUUUAGAAAAUUCCAAAAAUUGGACUGGUUUGAAAUUAUAUUUUUAGUGAGCUCUGAUGGCCCAGCCAAGAAGGAAAACAAUGUUUUCUGAUUGGCUAACCUCAGUUUCAGGCAUCGCCUUGCUAUCAGUGUCAACUGGACUGUUGUCUUCGGAUUGGUUGGAUUUUGAUUAACUUUUUCUCUUCUUAGAAAUGAUCUCUUGAACUCUUUAUUAAUUUUUUGGUUUUUUUCACAUAACUUUGUGCAUAAAAACUAUACUUCAACGCUAUUAAAGUUCCUUGCCUUUGUUCCAUUAUUAUCUUUGUCUCUUGCGGUUGAAAGUAAAAUUAUUUCAAUUAAGGGUACCUCAGUCAAGAAAAAAGUGAGCAGUCUGGUUUUUUGCCAAGACACCUAGCAGUGAUUGUUAGAUCCUUGAAGAAAAUAAUAAUUUUAUAUUGACUAAAAUUCUAAGUAUCAUAGGUACAAAAUUCCACAAGAACACCUGCUCUCUCUUAUGCCCCUCAAUCAUCCUAUUUAAUGAUAUUUUAAAUAAUGGUUGUUUUUUUAUAAUUACCAAUGUUGCCUCUUCAAUUUAUUUUUCAUCAAUACUCUUGACUUUUUGACUUUUCAAAUUAAAAUCAACUGAGAAAUGGCCUCAAAUGCUAAUUUAUUACCUUUUCAUGCUCCAGAGAAAGAAAGAUCAAGUUUCUUCAGUUUGAUGAAAAGUGAAAAUUUUUAUUGUCUUGUAAUUGUCUUGUUGUUUUAUUGUCACGAAAUCAGCGAGUCACAUUUUUUUAAAAAGUCAGUAUCAAACCUGCCACGGUAGUUAUUUUUUGUCCUGUUUUUUCUUCCUUUUAAGGUUUAUAAAAACGGUGAGACCAGACCUAGUGCCUUUUGAAGUGAAGAACAGAGCAGGCCUCACUGCGCUAUUAGACAAAAAUAAGUUCUAUGAGCCAAUGCAAACUGCAAGACAACGCAUUACCGUGAAAGUGUUUAGAUUGUCUUGACAUUCCCUUUUCCAAUCAGUGGGAAGAAGAGUUGGACCAGGAUCUCACUGUCAACAAAAACAUCAGUGUAUAUGAUGAUAGAAACAAGGUACAAGCCAAGGCUGCAUCUUUUCAAACAACAUUCAUCAUUAGAGAUAAAAUUUGAUUGUUAGAAUAUAGACUCAUUGUUUUG
rnacentral:lncRNA from 1 species